GACGAACGCUGGCGGCGUGCUUAACACAUGCAAGUCGAACGGAAAGGCCCUGCUUUUGUGGGGUGCUCGAGUGGCGAACGGGUGAGUAACACGUGAGUAACCUGCCCUUGACUUUGGGAUAACUUCAGGAAACUGGGGCUAAUACCGGAUAGGAGCUCCUGCUGCGUGGUGGGGGUUGGAAAGUUUCGGCGGUUGGGGAUGGACUCGCGGCUUAUCAGCUUGUUGGUGGGGUAGUGGCUUACCAAGGCUUUGACGGGUAGCCGGCCUGAGAGGGUGACCGGCCACAUUGGGACUGAGAUACGGCCCAGACUCCUACGGGAGGCAGCAGGGGGGAAUAUUGCACAAUGGGCGGAAGCCUGAUGCAGCAACGCCGCGUGCGGGAUGACGGCCUUCGGGUUGUAAACCGCUUUCGCCUGUGACGAAGCGUGAGUGACGGUAAUGGGGAAAGAAGCACCGGCUAACUACGU
rnacentral:rRNA from 1 species